rnacentral:lncRNA from 1 species
UGGAUUUUGUUCUAAACUACUUGAAUACCAGUGCCAUUGCAUUUCUUUCUCUAAUCCUCUUCUGUUUAUUCUUCUACAAUCCCUUCAAUUUUUUUCAAACCAAAGAGGCUCCCACUGUUGCAGGAGCAUGGCCAGUACUUGGUCACCUUCCACUGUUGAGUGGUUCAAAGAGACCCCAUAGAACUUUGGGUGCUUUGGCUGACAAAUAUGGACCCAUUUUCACCAUCCAACUUGGUUCAAAAAAGGCUUUGGUAAUCAACAACUGGGAAAUGGCAAAGGAAUGCUUCACCACAAACGACAUGGCCGUUUCCUCUCGCCCCAAGCUCAUCGCCAUUGAACUCAUGGGCUACAAUGCCAUGUUUGGCUUUGUACCCUAUGGUCCCUAUUGGCGCGAGUUACGAAAGAUUGUAACUUUAGAAAUCCUCACUACUCGUCGAGUGGAACAACUGCAGCAUGUUCGUGUCUCAGAACUUCAAAACUCGAUCAAAGAGUUGCAUGAUGUUUGGUGCAGCCAAAAGAGUGAGUCUGGCUAUGCCUUGGUGGAGCUGAAGCAAUGGUUUUCUCACCUCGCAUUCAACAUGGUUCUUCGAAUGGUCGUUGGGAAGAGAUAUUUUGGUGGUGAAAACUUGGACAAUGAGAAGGCACAGAGAUGUGUGAAGGCUGUGGAGGAGUUCAUGCGUCUGUUGGGGGUGUUCGCAGUGGGAGAUGCUGUUCCUUGGCUUAGAUGGUUUGAUUUUGGAGGGCAUGAGAAGGCCAUGAAAGAAACUGCGAAAGAGUUGGAUAGUAUUAUAGGUGAGGAGUUAGAGGAACAUCGAAAAAGGAAGGGUUUGGGUGAGAAGGAUGAUGAAGCUCAAGAUUUCAUGGAAGUAAUGAUUUCAUUGCUUGAUGGAAGAACUAUUGAUGGGAUCGAUGCAGAUACCAUGAUCAAAUCCACCGUACUGGUACGUAUGUUUAACAAAAAUGUUUUAUUAACACUCACUAACAUAGACUUGACACACUUGACACAGUUGGCAUUGAUGUAAAAUGCAAAUGCAAAACUGGUUCCUCCACAUAUAUUGACAAACGCAAAAUUGCUUACCCGUGUGUCUGUAAGUGAUUACCUAUGUGACGUUUAUGAUCACCAACUCUUCAUGAAAAAAAAAUUAUUUUUUUUUAAUAAAAACCAUAUAUUAAUUACAUCGGUUAGAUGGCUUAACCGAUGUAAAAAUCAUAUAUUACAUCGGUUAGAUGACUUAACCGAUGUAGGUUUCUCCACAUAUACUAGCACACACAAAACUGGUUACCCGUGUGUCUGUAAGUGGUUACCUAUGUGACGUUUACGACCCACCCACUCUUUAUGAAAAAAAAUUCAAUUUCUUUUAUUAUGGGUCAUAUAUUACAUCGGUUAGAUAACUUAACCGACGUAAUAUGGGUCAUUCUGAGUAAAAAAAUAUAUAUUACACUGGUUGUUUCUAAGAACCGAUGUAAUAUAAUUUUUUAUCCUAUUUUGAAGUUCGCGCUGCUCAUUCGCACGCAAUUUCACUCUGUCACGUCAUUGUCACGUCUGCGACGUCAAAUGUGUGUCAUGUAUAGAGGAUAUCAAUAUAUGGGGACUCUAUGUUUAAUUUACACGUUAUAAUGCUUUUGAAAUGUGAAACUUUAAGAGAAUUAAACAUAUAAAUACAACGUUAAUGAUGUAAAAGCAUUACAAAAUUCUUCACGUUAAUGAGUGUUUUUUGGGAGAGUGAGGGAUAUAGUGAUGUUGUGAUUGGGAGAGAAAGGGACAUUUGUGGUGUUGGGUGAAUGAAAAUGAAUGGACAACUUACAAAAAAAAAUUUCUGUUGUUUUUCCACUUCUUUUUUUAUCAGUAAAAUAUCAUAUAAAUUAAAUGGAACAUUUGAUAGGUGUUUCAAUUUUUUUAUAUCUCCUAGUUAAUUAUUCCAAAGCUACAAAACAACUACCAAAUUUUCCACUCUAAUUUGGUUUUUGUGAAAAAUAAUGAAAUUUUGAGAUUUUUUUUUUAAUUGUACAUCAUCAUCAGUUUAGAACUUGUUUAAUUUUUACAUGGAGGAAAUGUAAAUUAUUAUAGAACUCAUGAGGUAUUCCGUAGAAAAUAAAUAAAAUUAAAUAAAUUUUCUUGUAAAUUAAAAUUAAGUAUAGCCUAGUUAUUUUUAGUAAUAAGUUUUUUGAACAUAAUCUUAAUUCAGUAUAAGAAAAUUAUUAAAUAAAAACUAAUUUUAGGAACCAAAAUAAUUAGUUACUAUUUGUUUAAAUUAGAGACCAUUUUAUAAAUUAAAAAAAUUAGUGGUAUCUAAAAUAGUUUUUAUUUUAAUAAAAAAUUAUAAAAUAGUUUUUAAAUUGGUAUCUAACCAUUAACUAUCAAGGUUUUAGCUACUUACUACUUUAUAUUUUAAAUCAGUCUCUAUUAGUCUUUUAGAUACUAAUUUAUAAUAUGAAAUAUUAGUAACUAAAACCUAGAUAACUAAUUUAGAUACCAAAUUAGAAACUAUUUUAUAAAUUUUUAUUAAUAAUAAAAAUUAUCUUAGAUACCAAUAAUUUUUUAGUCUCUAAAUAAGUAUCUAAUUUAGUCAGUAUAGUGACUAAUUAUUUUUAUGUUUAAAUUGGGUUGCUAUUUAAUGAUUUUUUUUCUAGUGAUUUUCUUCACUUCAAUACUUUUGUUGGGUAACUUAUUUGUUUUGCAGGCAGUGAUUGCAGCAGGAACUGACACAAACAAUACAGUUCUUACAUGGACAAUAUCUUUGAUUCUAAGAAAUCCUUUGGUGUUGGAAAAAGUAAAAGAUGAACUUGACACUCAUAUUGGAAAACAGAAAUGCGUAAAUGAGUCUGAUAUAAGUAAGUUAACAUAUCUUCAAGCUAUAGUCAAAGAAACUUUAAGAUUGUAUCCUCCUGGUCCACUUUCGGCACCUCGUGAAUUCACAGAGAAUUGCACUUUAAGAGACUAUAAUAUAAAAAAGGGAACCCGACUAAUCACAAAUCUUUGGAAGAUUCACACAGAUAGUAAUGUUUGGGAAGACCCUUUGGAGUUCAAACCAGAAAGGUUUCUUACAACUCAUAAAGAUAUUGACGUCAAAGGUCAUCAUUUUGAGCUAUUACCAUUUGGAGGUGGUAGAAGAAUAUGUCCAGCAGUAUCCCUUGGCCUUCAAAUGGUGCAUUUCACUCUUGCUAGGUUUUUGCAUUCUUUUGAAAUUUUAAGUCCAUCACCUGAUCCUAUAGACAUGACUGAAACAUUUGGAUUAACCAACACUAAAGCCACUCCACUUGAUAUUCUUAUUAAACCACGUCUAUCUCUUAGUUGUUAUGAAAACAACCGUUCCUUAUCUUAGCUACGUGAUUACAUUGUAUUUUUGUUCAAAGUACUUUUUGUUCCUACUAAAUAGUUCAAAGUAUUGUAGUUCCUCUAUUAUAUAUUUGUAUUUUUGUUCAAAAGUACUUGUAAUAUUUGUAGUAUUAAACAUAUAAAUACAGCAUAGUUGUUAAUUAAAUCUGAAAUAUUUUCUCAGGAACUUGCUUUAGAUAUGAAGAUAUGUAUUUUACUUCGGUGGUUUAAAAUCAGUUGUAUGAAAAUAUAAGGUAUAACACUUUCGUUAAUGAUGUAAAAACAUUACAAAAUUCUCCACGCAAGUGUGUUUUAUCGUCAUUACUGUUUAUAUGGGAUUUGUUUGAUAGAGGGGAGAGAUAUAAGUGUUUUUUUUGGGUGAGUGAGGGAUAUAGUGAUGUUGUGAUUCGGGGAGAAAGGGUAGUGAGGUUGAGAAUGGAGAUAUUAAUGGUGGAAAGGGACAUUUGUGGUGUUGCGUGAAUGAAAAAUGGACCACUUAGAAUUCAACAUCAUGAGUUUAGAAAUUGUUUACUUUUCUUAUGAUGAAAAUAUACAAUGAUUAUAGAACACAUGCAAGUAAUCCCUAGAAAAUAAAUAAAAUAAAAUAACUUUUUUUGUAAAUUAAAAUUAACUUUAACUUAGUUAUUUUUAAUAAUAAGUUUUUCAAAUAUAACCUUAAUUUUCUUAACUAAAAUAUUUCUGUUAGGUAACUUAUAACCUUAAUUUUCUUCACCGAAAUAUUUUUGUUGGGUAACUUAUUUGAUUAGCAGGCAGUGAUUUUAGGAGGAACUGACACAAACCAUACAGUUCUUACGUGGACAAUAUCUUUGAUUUUACAAAAUUCUUUGGUGUUGGAAAAAGUAAAAGAUGAACUAGAAUUCAUAUUGGAAAAGAGAAAUGUGUAAGUGAGUUUAUAAGUAAGUUAAUAUAUCUUCAAGCCAUAGUCAAAGAAACUUUAAGAUUGUAUCCUCCUGAUCCUCUUUUGACACCUCGUGAAUUCACAGAGAAUUGCACUUUAAGAGGCUUAAUAUAAAAAAGGGAACUCGACUAAUAACAAAUAUUUGGAAGAUUCAUACAGAUAGUAAUGCUUGGGAAGAUCCUCUAGAGUUUAAACCAGAAAGGUUUCUUACAACUCAUAAAGAUAUUGACAUCAAAGGUCGUCAUUUCAAGCUAUUACCAUUUGGAGGUAGUAGAAGAAUGUGUCAUGGAAUAUCCUUUAGCCUUCAAAUGGUGCACUUCAAGCUAGUUUUUUGCAUUCUUUUAAAAUUUUAAGUUGAUCACCUGAUCCCAUUGACAUGACUUAAACCUUUGGAUUAACCAACAACAAAGCCACUCCACUUGAUAUUCUUAUUAAACCACAUCUAUCUCUUAGUUGUUAUGAAAACAACCAAUCCUUGUGUUAGCUACGUGAUUACAUUGUAUUUCUAUUCAAAUUACUUUUUGUUCCUACUAAAUAGUUCAAACUACUUGCUAUCUUUGUAGUUCCUCUAGUAAAUUAUUUCAAAAAGAUGUAUACAUAUUAUAUAUUUGUAUUUUUGUCCAAGAGUACCUGUAACAUUUAUCUUUCUAAAUUUUGUAACUAUUUCAAAUAUAUAAUUGUUGAAAGUAUAAUUGCAUUGUAUAUUCUUGCCAUUUUGACUUUUUCUUGUUCCUUAUUUAUUGUUAUUUUCUUUAUAUUUUCCAUGUCAGUCUUAUUGUUGUGUUUUUAAAAUUUAAGUUUGUAUUUUUUACUAUUUAUGUUUAAUUCAUUUUCAUGUACUAGAUACAACGAUGAUAAUUUUCUUAUUUGCUUUAUUGCAAACAUCAAUUGACUCAAGACAUCAUAUAUGCCAACCUUAUAUCACUAGUGUAAAAAUGGCUAAUAUACAUCGUUUCACUAUCAGAUGCUGUCUAUCAAAAUGCAGUGACAUUUUUUAAAUUAAAACAGAAAGAUAAACAACGAUUGUAAGAGGAACCACUUUCUAUUUAAAUCAUUGAGAGAAUAGGCAGUGGCUCUAACCCAACAAUCAUUGUCUAUUCCAUAUAUGAUUUAAAUAGACAUUGAUUCCUCUUACAAUUAUUGUCUAUACCCUCGUUAUUACCCUAAUUCGAAGCUCUGUGGCACUUACGCUUUCGUUCUUUGCGUUUUCUUUCUUCUGCUUCACGCUAUCUCUUCAAGUCUUUUGAACGUUCUCUUCAUUCAUUAUCUUUGUAAGUUCUUCCUACCCUUAUUAAUUAUUCUUCCUCCAUUCUUCCUAUCGAUUCAUUGCUCAUUCUUUGAUUGGUUUAUUGUUUAAGGUUCUUGUUCAUUGUUCCACCACCGCACUCCAUUUUCCCUCCAUCCCCGCCUUUGUAAGUUCUUCCUACCCUCAUUUCUUAUUCUUCCGCUUUCGUUCUCAUCUUAUUUUCCCUCGAUUCUUCCAUUGGUUCAUUGCUCAUUCUUCCAUUGGUUCAUUGCUCAUUCUUCCAUUGGUUCAUUGUUUAAGGCUCUUGCGCUCCGCCCUCCACCGUUGCCCUUCACCACCGUUGCUGCCAUUACCUUGAGGUUGGUGUUGUUUUUAUUUAUUUUUUUAAUAUUUAUUUUUGUCUAUAUGUGACUUAUAGACGGCGGUUAUGGAACAACUGUUAUCUAUACCUCUAUAGAAUAGACUACGUGCUAAUAAACAAUGGUUUCAAAACCGUUGUUUAAUUGCUAAAAAAAAAUCAUUGUCUUUUACCUUUUUUGCACUAGUGUAUUAUUUUAUUUCUCAACAAAUCAAAUUGCUACCUACUUAUUUUUUCAAUUUUUCCAACCAAUCAAAUUAGAUCAUCUUCAACUUAAUUAAUCCUACCUUAUCAAUAUCUAAACAUAAGAAUUUUCAUAAUCUUAAUAUGGAAUAAAAUUUGUAUAAUUUAUAAAACUUCAUUCCCAUUCUUAAUAAACCAACAUUUUUUAAUAAAACAUUUAAAGUUAUAUAAUAUAUUAUUAAUCAUAACUCCUACAUUAGUGUGAAAGUUGAAAAAAAAAAAAAAACAAGUAUGUAGGUUAACUUUGAUUCUAGGUAAAGGAAAAAUUCAUUUCAAUCUCAAGUGUGUAUGUCCUCUAUUAUAGUUAAUUUAAUAUGUAUAGUAUUGUUGUGAAGUGUCAUUUGGAUAUGACAAAUUUGUUAUGACAAAAAAUAAUGAAUCAACAUUGUGAUCAAAGCGAGUUUGUAUUCUAUUUUUUAAGUUAUUGAUGAAUCUUGAUCUUUUGAUUAUAUUGGUGACUGAUAAGUGUCACAAUUCAGUAAUAUAUCAUAAAAAAGGAUCGACACUUAUGAAUUUUAUUUGAUAAAAUAAUUAUAACUAAAACUCUAAUUUAGGAAUUUUAACCUUUUCACAUAUUUUUGGAUUAUGAAAUGAAUAAGAAUGAUUUCCAUUUUUGUGUUAUUUUUAGGAAUUUAAGGAGAGAUGAAGCAAAUAAAUAUAUUAUGAAUAAUGAUGUCACUGAGCCCAAAUCCAAGUAGGUUAAAUAGAAUGCAUGAUGCAUAACCCUAAAAUCAUUGGUGGAAUAGGAGGUGAGGAUAAAAAAUCCUAAAGGAGGCAGACAUCAAGGAGAAACAUUCUGGAUCUUCUUUUCUCCCCUUUCCAAGCUUGUAAUGGCCAACAUGAGUGACUUAUUCUAUCCUUUGGUAUUGAGAAUAAUUUGUUUAAACUCUUAUGUAUUGAGGUGAUAUUUAAAUAUAAUAUUUUGUUCUAAAUUGAUAAUUGGUAUUGUCAUUUUAUUUGUAAGGCUUGUUUACCGUGAUUUUGAUCCUUAGAUUUGAUUGAAAGUACCUCUAAGUUUCUGACCUACAUGAUAAUGCUUAACAUAUUUGAAUGUUAGGAAUAUAUUUGAAAUAUUAAUUGAUAUCAACAUCUAAUCCUAAGGAUAAUGAGUUUUUACAAAUAUGCGAGGAAUCGAUAUUUAGGAGACUAUCUUAAUAAUUUUAUGUGAGAAAUCGAUAUAAAUGAAUUUUGUAUGGGCAUCAAUAACAAUCAAAGGAUAAAAUAUUAUUAUGCUUUUCAAAAUACAAAAGAGUGAGAAAGAUGGAUCUCAAUCCCAAUUUUCUCAAUUGAAUCAAAGACUUUUUUACUUUGCUUUAUUUACAUUCUUGCAAUCAUGUACAACAAACAUCCUCCAAACUUUUACUUAUUGUUUUCUAUUUAGUGAAUCUUAUACUUGAUAAUUCAAUUGUUCCUUGUGGGUUUAAAAUUCGUUCUUAUGGAAAAAUUAUUACAUCUAAGAUGGUACACUUGCUGUAAAAUAGUCACCAGUGACUCUUAUUAUGUGUAACAUAUUAGAUUAAAACAUGUAAAUUUUUCGUAUGUUCACUAGUGCAGAAAUGCUAAUCAAAUGCGACUAUUUUACAUUUACAAAUGCGGCUAUAGAGCCGCAUUUGAUCAACACGCAUUCGUAAAUCAGAGAGAUACAAAUGCAGCUAUAGAGCCGCAUUUGUAAAUGUGAUUUACGAAUGCGGUUAUUUCAAAAUAGCCGCAUUUGUAUAUUCUUCUGAAUGAACUGAGGGUUUUAGGGGUUUAAGAUUUAUGAAUGCGGCUCUGGUAAUAGCCGCAUUCGUAAAUCACAUUUACAAAUCCACAUUUGUAAAUCUUGUUUUUUGAUUUACAAAUGCGGCUUUGGUAAAUAACCGCAUUUGUAAAUAGUGUUUUUUUUUUUAAAGUGCAAUUUGUAUUGUCCCUAAACCAUAUAAAUUAACCUGCAUAAUGAUCAAACCCAGCCAGACAAAUACAGAAAUAUAGAGAUAAAUUGAGAGAAUCAAAAUGUACAUUUACAAUAGUAAUCAAACAUAAUAAAACCUACACUAUUGCUUAACUAUGGUAGAGUUAUAAAAAUUUAUGAAAUAUGUGGACCAAGAAUCUCUGACAUAUGAAAUGCCUUCCGAAUUCAUUGGUGUUUCGUCCGUGAAUAACUGCAUUGCAAAAUAUAGUUGACAUAAAUUAGUUUUUAGAUAUAUAUAUAUAUAUAUAUAUAUAUAUAUGUUCAAGAAUUAUAAAAAUGAUUUAACAUAUCAUGUUAUUACCUCUUUCCAACCAGUUUUAACACCUAGUCUUAUAAUGGUAAUCAUCCAUUGCAUAAUGUAAUAGCCACACUCAUAGUUUUCUGGUUGUUUAUUACACUAUAAUUCAAUAAAAAGUAUUAUGUUAGUAUAUUGAUAAACAAUGAUAAUAGAGAAAGAAAAAAAUUACAAACCUUUAUUCUUAUGUAGUUCAAAUUAUUUGAACUGGAUCGACCUUUUAGGAUGUUAUAUCCACACCAUGAACUGGUUAAUACAAAAAACCUCGUUAGUAGAUGGUUAAUUAGUAACAUAUACAAAGUUAAGUUUAUAAUGUACUUACGUAUCAAUGAUAUCCUUAAAUUUUGUGGGAAUCUUCUUGUGUAGGGAACAUAACCACACAGCAGUGUUAUCAACCAUUGAUAAGACAAGUAACUGCCAAUGAUGCCUAUAUCAUCCAUGAAAGAGUUAGUAAAUAUUUAAAACUUGAUUUUUAAAUAUUAACUAAUAUUUUAAAUAAUAUUUUUAAAGUGAUUAAACAAUAUUUAUGCCAAGUUUUUAAAUUAUGGAUAAUUAAGUCCACGUAGUGUUAAGACUCGAAUUGGUUCCCAAGUUUUAAGCCCAAGUUUUAUUAUUCCCAACAGUGAUUUGAUAAUAUAUGUAGAAUUAUGAGUGUUUAUUAUCCUGUUGAGUUGAAGUUUGGAAUGAAUCUUGGUGUUCUUGUAUUUUGGAGUAGGAGGAUCUCAUAUGUGAAGUCAAAUGAGUUAUUGUUAACAAGGCGUAACUCAUGUGGGAUUUGAAUAAUUACUCAACCGGAGUAACAAGCAGCAAAUAAUAAUUUCUUCAACUUGCAAGAAUCUGUGAGGAUCAAUAACAAAUAAUGAUAGCAACAAAAAACACAUUGAAGGAAGACACCAAAAUUUUAAUGUGAAAAACCUUCUCAAUGUGAGUAGUAAAAACCACAUGCACAAACCAGUUAAUCAAAUUCCACUAUAAUCAAAAUUAAGAUUACAAGAGAGCGUGAAGUCAUAUAGUCUUCUAAUAGUUGUUUUCAUAUAAUAGAAACCUAAUUACUUGAGUGAAGGCUAACCCUAGAAGAUUCAACACAAGACCGUUUAACCUACCCACAUUUAUAAUUCAAUUAUUACUAUCAGUUGGAGAAGACAACAAAUAAAUAUCAAGCUAUUAAGGUUAAUAUCUUUUAUCUUCAAUAUACAAUGUUUAUUCUUCUACAAUCCCUUCAAUUUUUUUCAAACCAAAGGGGCUCCCACUGUUGCAGGAGCAUGGCCAAUACUUGGUCACCUUCCACUGCUGAGUGGUUCAAAGACACCCCAUAGAACUUUGGGUGCUUUGGGUGACAAAUAUGGACCCAUUUU